UGCCCAGCCACUCCUAUCCCUACCUCCUCGCGGUACUGGCCGGGUUACGAGUAACCUUAGGGAAACG
rfam:Aedes aegypti strain Liverpool supercont1.88 genomic scaffold, whole genome shotgun sequence.